GUGCACUCGCUUCCACAGCACAUAUACUAAAAUUAGAAAGGUACAGAGAAGAUUAGCAUGGCCCCUGGACAAGGACAACACGAAAAUUUGUGAAGCAUUCCAUAUUUUU